rnacentral:tRNA from 1 species
GGAUGGGUAGUCUAGUCUGGUUAGGAUACCUGUCUCACACACAGGUGGUCGAGAGUUCAAAUCUCUCCUCAUCCACUA